GAUUUCUUUUUUGCUAAGAGCAAAGUCGACUUAUUUAUUCCCAGCCCAAAUUCUGUUCACAUCCCAGAGGAAGAGGCCACGUUUGUUCUACUGUUGUCACUGUAAAUCCAAUAUAACACGCUCCGUAAUUACGCUGAAACAAAUAUAAUUCGGAUGGCUUGGCUCACAUUUUUUCUCCAACCUAUUUAGGUCUAGAGCCUUUUCUUCAAAUAAAAUAUGGCGGCGUCUGAUGUGCUGAUAACAUAAUGUCUCAAUUAUAAUUGUAUACGCCGUUUAUUAUAACUCUCUUUUUGUUACCUGCAUGUCUUAUUAUGCCUCCCUUCGAAGAAGAGGGGGUAUAUUGCUUUGCUCAUGUCGGUCUGUCGGUCGGUCUGUCGGUCGGUCCGUCCACCAGGUGGUUGUCAGACGAUAACUCAAGAACGCUUGGGCCUAGGAUCAUGAAACUUCAUAGGUACAUUGAUCAUGACUCGCAGAUGACCCCUAUUGAUUUUGAGGUCACUAGGUCAAAGGUCACGGUGACCAGAAAUAGUAAAAUGGUUUUUGAAUGAUAACUCAAGAACGCAUAUGCCUAGGAUCAUGAAACUUCAUGGGUAGAUUGAUCAUGACUUGCAGAUGACCCCUAUUGAUUUUGAGGUCACUAGGUCAAAGGUCAAGGUCACGGUGACCCGAAAUAGUAAAAUGGUUUCCGGAUGAUAACUCAAGAACGCAUACGCCUAGGAUCAUGAAACUUCAUGGGUAGAUUGAUCAUGACUCGCAGAUGACCCCUAUUGAUUUUGAGGUCACAAGGUCAAAGGUCAAGGUCACGGUGACCCGAAAUAGUAAAAUGAUUUUCGGAUGAUAACUCAAGAACGCUUUUGCCUAGGAUCAUGACACUUCAUAGGUACAUUGAUUGUGACCCGCAGAUGACCCCUAUUGAUUUUCAGGUCACUAGGUCAAAGGUCAAGGUCACAGUGACAAAAAUCGUAUUCACACAAUGGCUGCCACUACAACGGACAGCCCAUAUGGGGGGCAUGCAUGUUUUACAAACAGCCCUUGUUUUAUAUUUUGUUGUUAUGAUACACAUAUUAUGCUGAUUAUUUCAAGAGAUAAUCUACAAAGUGUGAGCAUGAGAUUUUAUAUUAUGUUGUUACUGUUAAAUUUCAUCGUGAUUAUAGCAAUGUACUAACUUAAAAAUCAUUAAAAAAUAUUAUAAUUUGAA